GAUGAAGAACGCAGCGAAAUGCGAUAAGUAAUGUGAAUUGCAGAAUUCAGUGAAUCAUCGAAUCUUUGAACGCCCAUUGCGCCCGCCAGUAUUCUGGCGGGCAUGCCUGUUCGAGCGUCAUUUCAACCAUCAAGCCCCCGGCUUGUGUUGGGGACCUGCGGCUGCCGCAGGCCCUGAAAACCAGUGGCGGGCUCGCUAGUCACUCCGAGCGUAGUAAUACAUCUCGCUCAGGGCGUGCUGCGGGUUCCGGCCGUUAAAAGCCUUAUUUACCCAAGGUUGACCUCGGAUCAGGUAGGAAGACCCGCUGAACUUAAGCAUAUCAAUAAGCGGAGGA
rnacentral:misc_RNA from 1 species